rnacentral:snRNA from 1 species
AUACUUACCUGGACGGGGUCAAUGAGUGAUCAUCAAGGCACAUGGCCUAGGCUAGUGACCUUCAUUGCACUUUGGAGGUGCAUUAGGCUAAGGUCUACCUAAUUGGUGGAGCCUACGUCAUAAUUUGUGUUGGUCCCGAUAGGGU